UCCGGUUGAUCCUGCCGGACCCCACUGCUAUCGGGAUAGGACUAAGACAUGCUAGUCGAGCGCCUCCCAGCCACGACGGAGGCGCGGCGCACAGCUCAGUAACACGUGGCUAACCUGCCCUUGGGACAGAGACACCCCCGGGAAACUGGGGCUAAUCCCUGAUAGGUGAAGAACUCUGGAAUGAGUCUUCACCCAAAAGACGCCUAGGCCACGCUUCUAGGCGCCGCCCAAGGAUGGGGCCGCGACCGAUCAGGUUGUUGGUGAGGUAACGGCCUACCAAGCCUUUUACCGGUACGGGCCGUGGGAGCGGGAGCCCGGAGAUGGGCACUGAGACAAGGGCCCAGGUCCUACGGGGCGCAGCAGUCGCGCAAACUUUGCAAUACACGAAAGUGUGACAGGGCUAUCCCGAGUGCCGUCCGCUGAGGGUGGCUUUUACCCAGUCUAGAAAGCUGGGAGAAUAAGGAGAGGGCAAGUCUGGUGUCAGCCGCCGCGGUAAUACCAGCUCUCCGAGUGGUGUGGAUGUUUAUUGGGCCUAAAGCAUCCGUAGCUUGCUGAUCAAGUCCCCUGUUAAACCCAACGAAUCAAUCGUUGGAUUGCGGGGGAUACUGCUCGGCUAGGGGACGAGAGAGGCCGA
rnacentral:rRNA from 1 species